rnacentral:rRNA from 1 species
AUACGGGGGGUGCAAGCGUUAAUCGGAAUUACUGGGCGUAAAGCGCGCGUAGGCGGUUUGCUCAGUCGGAUGUGAAAGCCCAGGGCUCAACCUUGGAACUGCAUACGAUACUGGCAAACUAGAGUGUGAGAGAGGAUAGUGGAAUUUCCGGUGUAGCGGUGAAAUGCGUAGAUAUCGGAAGGAACAUCAGUGGCGAAGGCGACUGUCUGGCUCAACACCGACGCUGAGGUGCGAAAGCGUGGGUAGCAAACAGGAUUAGAUACCCUAGUAGUCC